GCCUGCAUGAAGCCGGAAUCGCUAGUAAUCGCGGAUCAGAAUGCCGCGGUGAAUACGUUCCCGGGUCUUGUACACACCGCCCGUCACACCAUGGGAGUCGGGAAUGCCCGAAGUCAGUGGCCCAACCGGAAGGGGGGAGCUGCCGAAGGCAGGCCCGGUGACUGGGGUGAAGUCGUAACAAGGUAUC
rnacentral:rRNA from 1 species